GAUGAACGCUGGCGGCGUGCCUAAUACAUGCAAGUCGAGCGAACAGACGAGGAGCUUGCUCCUCUGACGUUAGCGGCGGACGGGUGAGUAACACGUGGAUAACCUACCUAUAAGACUGGGAUAACUUCGGGAAACCGGAGCUAAUACCGGAUAAUAUAUUGAACCGCAUGGUUCAAAAGUGAAAGACGGUUUUGCUGUCACUUAUAGAUGGAUCCGCGCUGCAUUAGCUAGUUGGUAAGGUAACGGCUUACCAAGGCAACGAUGCAUAGCCGACCUGAGAGGGUGAUCGGCCACACUGGAACUGAGACACGGUCCAGACUCCUACGGGAGGCAGCAGUAGGGAAUCUUCCGCAAUGGGCGAAAGCCUGACGGAGCAACGCCGCGUGAGUGAUGAAGGUCUUCGGAUCGUAAAACUCUGUUAUUAGGGAAGAACAAAUGUGUAAGUAACUAUGCACGUCUUGACGGUACCUAAUCAGAAAGCCACGGCUAACUACGUG
rnacentral:rRNA from 1 species